CACCUGUUCCCAUUCCGAACACAGUAGUUAAGCAUUCAGAGGCCGAAAGUACUUGCCUGGAGACGGGCUGGGAGGAUAGGAAGUUGCCGGUA
rnacentral:rRNA from 1 species